rnacentral:rRNA from 1 species
AGAGUUUGAUCCUGGCUCAGGAUAAACGCUGGCGGCGUGCUUCAGGCAUGCAAGUCGAACGAGUGUCCACCUUCGGGUGGUCUACUAGUGGCGGACGGGUGAGUAACGCGUUAGCAACCUGCCCAAAAGUGGGGAAUAACUAACCGAAAGGUUAGCUAAUACCGCAUGUGAUAGCUGGUUCUUGGACCGGUUAUGAAAGGCUUCGGUCGCUUUUGGAGGGGCUUGCGUCAGAUUAGCUAGUUGGUGGGGUAAUGGCCUACCAAGGCGACGAUCUGUAGCUGGUCUGAGAGGACGAUCAGCCACACGGGGACUGAGAUACGGCCCCGACUCCUACGGGAGGCAGCAGCUAGGAAUCUUGGGAAUGGGCGAAAGCCUGACCCAGCAACGCCGCGUGGGCGAUGAAGGCCUUCGGGUCGUAAAGCCCUUUUAUAGGGGACGAUGAUGACGGUACCCUGCGAAUAAGCCACGGCUAACUACGUGCCAGCAGCCGCGGUAAUACGUAGGCGGCAAGCGUUGUCCGGAUUUACUGGGCGUAAAGGGCGUGCAGGCGGUUUGUUAAGUGCAGGGUGAAAGCUCCCGGCUCAACUGGGAAGAGGUCCUUGSAUACUGGCGAACUCGAGGGAGGCAGAGGWAGUGAAUUCCGKUAUAAUGGKGAAUACGAAUAUSGCGAAGRCAGCUUCYAUGGCRCUUUCYUGACGCUUAGACGCGAAACGUGGGAGCGAACGGGAUUAGAUACCCGGGUAGUCCACGCCGUAACYACGCGUCHACUAGKUUKUGGGRGUAUCGACCCYCUCCGUGCGAAGCUAACGCAAUAAGUGUCCCGCCUUGGGGAAGUACGGCCGCAAGGCUAAAACUCAAAGGAAUAGACGGGAGCUUGCACAAGCGGUGGAGCGUGUGGCUUAAUUCGUCGCUAAGCGAAGAACCUUACCAGGACUUAGAAAUCCUACUGCACGCCUAGCGAAAGCUAGGAAGCCUUCGAGGGUGUAGGACAGGUGAUGCAUGGCUGUCGUCAGUUCGUGGUUUGAAUCGUUCCCUUCAGUGGGGUAACGAACGCAACCUUCGUUGCCUGUUACACGUAUCAGGCGAGACUGCCCCCUCACGGGGGAGGAAGGUGGAGAUGACGCCAAGUCAGCAUGUCCCUCUGAUGUCCUGGGCUGCACACGCGCUACAGUCGCCGUUACAACGAGGCGCAAUGGGGUAACCCGGAGCAAAUCUUUCAAAAGCGGCGCCAGUUCGGAUUGGGGUCUGCAACCCGACCCCAUGAAGCCGGAAUCGCUAGUAAUCGCGGGUCAGCCAUACCGCGGUGAAUACGUUCUCAAGCUUUGUACUCACCGCCCGUCAAGUCAGGGAAGUUGGGAGUGCCCGAAGGACAUCCUCGCGAUGUACCAAGGCAAACUCAAUGACAAAGACUAAGUCGUAACAAGGUAGCCGUA